UGAUCUGGAUUUUUAAGCGGUUAAGUAAAUAUCAUGGGGCAGGCACUGGGGGGCACAAUAUCCCAAAUAGCCGUAUUUGCAUCACAACCCUUGGAUGAGGUGAUUGCCCAACGUCGCCCAUCAUCAUCCCGGCAGGUUAAGUCCAGGAUGCCAUCCCCGUCACAGUCUGCACUCUGCAGGACUGCGGUGUCGUGGAUGCACCACCCGGAUGGCCUGGUGCAUGAAGCUGCGGCAAAAAAAACAGCAACGAUAAUAAUUGAUCAAUGCCAGAAGCAGAUCGGGCAGGUGGCCUAGCUAGGAAAGGCCACAUGAAGGGUGGAGGCCAGACCAGCUGGAAAUGAAAGGCCAGGCAGUGUAACUACGAUUUCUAGACGCAUUGAGCAGGUCGGUGCCACAAAGAGACUCAGGGCUUGCUUGCCAGCAGCCGUAGGAUAACCGUACAUGCAUGCAUGCAUGCAUGCAUGCAUGCAUGCCACCAAUACAUUCGGUGAUUGAGCAUUGCUAUGCGCUUGCAUGCAUGUUUUGUGCGAUUGGGCAUAUGUAUACAGUUGCCAAAUAUGAUGCCUGAGGGGCUUCAGGUAAGGUGUACACACUGCUGCAAUUCACUGCUCCGAAGCAAGUGGGGUUGAACAAUAAUAUGCUAUGAUAAUUCCGAGGGGCAAUGCCGGUUCGAGGGAAUUCCCUCGAACCAUCUCAAUUUCAUCGCAACGGCUGGGUUAUUACUACGUACCUGGAUCUGUGGGUGGCGAGAAUAUCUUGGGGCAGGCACUGGGGGGCACAAUAUCCCAAAUAGCCGCAUUUGCAUCACAGCCCGUGGAUGAGGUGAUCGCCCAACGUCGCCCAUCAUCAUCCCGGCAGGUAACAUCCAGGGCGCCAUCCCCGUCACAGUCUGCACUCUGCAGGACUGAGCUGUUGUGGAUGCACCACCCGGAUGGCCUGGUGCAUGAAGCUGGAACUGCGGCAAAAGCCAGCAACGAUAAUAAUCGAUCGGUGUCAGAAGCAACAGAAACAUUUCUAGAUGCAUGGAGCAGCAGGUCAGUGCCAUAAGGAAACGCAGCUCGCCUGCCAGGGUUUUAAAACCCCUAGGGUGCCUGCCAGUAGGGAAACCGUACAUGUGUCCAUGCCACCGAUACAAUCGCGGAUUUAGCAUAAUUAUGCGCUCGCGUGAAUGUGUUGUGUGACUGGCUGGGCAUAUGUACAUGCUCAUACAGUUGCUAAAUGCGAUGCCUGAGGGGCACUGCAAUUACUCCCGCCCUUGCUUGCUUACAGGAUCUCGUAGGUUGAAGCAUGAUAUGCUACAUACGAUGAUUCCCCUGAACCAUCUCAGAUUAUUCAUCACAUACAACUGCUGGGUUAUUUCUACGUACCUGGAUCUGUGGGCGGGGGGAAUAUCAUGGGGCAGGCACUGGGGGGCACAAUAUCCCAAAUAGCCGUAUUUGCAUCACAACCCUUGGAUGAGGUGAUUGCCCAACGUCGCCCAUCAUCAUCCCGGCAGGUUAAGUCCAGGAUGCCAUCCCCGUCACAGUCUGCACUCUGCAGGACUGCGGUGUCGUGGAUGCACCACCCGGAUGGCCUGGUGCAUGAAGCUGCGGCAAAAAAAAACAGCAACGAUAAUAAUUGAUCAAUGCCAGAAGCAGAUAGGGCAGGUGGCCUAGCUAGGAAAGGCCACAUGAAGGGUGGAGGCCAGACCAGCUGGAAAUGAAAGGCCAGGCAGUGUAACUACGAUUUCUGGACGCAUCGAGCAGGUCGGUGCCACAAAGAGACUCAGGGCUUGCUUGCCAGCAGCCGUAGGAUAACCGUACAUGCAUGCAUGCAUGCAUGCCACCAAUACAUUCGGUGAUUGAGCAUAGCUAUGCGCUUGCAUGCAUGUUUUGUGCGAUUGGGCAUAUGUAUACAGUUGCCAAAUGUGAUGCCUGGGGGGCUUCAGGUAAGGUGCACACACUGCUGCAAUUCACUGCUCCGAAGCAAGUGGGGUUGAACAAUGAUAUGCUAUGAUAAUUCCGAGGGGCAAUGCCGGUUCGAGGGAAUUCCCUCGAACCAUCUCAAUUUCAUCGCAACGGCUGGGUUAUUACUACGUACCUGGAUCUGUGGGUGGCGAGAAUAUCUUGGGGCAGGCACUGGGGGGCACAAUAUCCCAAAUAGCCGCAUUUGCAUCACAGCCCGUGGAUGAGGUGAUCGCCCAACGUCGCCCAUCAUCAUCCCGGCAGGUAACAUCCAGGGCGCCAUCCCCGUCACAGUCUGCACUCUGCAGGACUGAGCUGUUGUGGAUGCACCACCCGGAUGGCCUGGUGCAUGAAGCUGGAACUGCGGCAAAAGCCAGCAACGAUAAUAAUCGAUCGGUGUCAGAAGCAACAGAAACAUUUCUAGAUGCAUGGAGCAGCAGGUCGGUGCCAUAAGGAAACGCAGCUCGCCUGCCAGGGUUUUAAAACCCCUAGGGCGCCUGCCAGUAGGACAAGUUGGGUGUCGGCUUCAAGGAAGCCGGAAAAAGGGCGGGGCCCCUCUGCAUCCGUACAGGCCGGUAGCAAAGGUGGCAAGUGUGACAAUUGAU
rnacentral:lncRNA from 1 species